AACGGAGGGUGCAAGCGUUGUUCGGAAUUACUGGGCGUAAAGCGCGUGCAGGUGGUCUAUUAAGUUUCAUGUGAAAUCCCUUGGCUCAACCAAGGAACUGCAUGAAAUACUGAUGAACUUGAAUUCGGGAGAAGAGGGCGGAAUUCCCAGUGUAGAGGUGAAAUUCGUAGAUAUUGGGAGGAACACCUGAGGCGAAAGCGGCUCUCUAGACCGACAUUGACGCUCAUACGCGACAGCAUGGGGAUCAAACAGG
rnacentral:rRNA from 1 species